rnacentral:rRNA from 1 species
AUACGUAGGGAGCGAGCGUUGUCCGGAAUUACUGGGCGUAAAGGGCGCGUAGGCGGCGCUUCAAGUCGUCUGUCAAAUGGGAGGGCUUAACCCUUUUUCGCAGACGAAACUGGAGAGCUUGAGAAGCAGAGAGGCAAACAGAAUUCCUGGUGUAGCGGUGAAAUGCGUAGAUAUCAGGAAGAAUACCAGUGGCGAAGGCGGUUUGCUGGCUGCAUACUGACGCUGAAGCGCGAAAGCACGGGGAGCAAACGGGAUUAGAUACCCCGGUAGUCCUGGCAGUAAACGAUGUAUGCUGGGUGUGAGACUAGCGAUAGUUUCGUGCCGAAGUUAACGCGAUAAGCAUACCGCCUGGGGAGUACGGUCGCAAGAUUGAAACUCAAAUGAAUUGACGGGG